rnacentral:rRNA from 1 species
GAUGAACGCUAGCGGGAGGCCUAACACAUGCAAGCCGAGCGGUAUUGUUUCUUCGGCAAUGAGUGAGCGGCGUACGGUUGCGUAACACUGUUGCAACCUGCCUUUAUUUGUGUGACAUCCUUUCUAAAGGAAGAUUAAUACCCCUUAAUAUAUUUACCGCCUUCGUUUAAUAUUGAAAGCUCCUGCGGCUUGGGACGGGUGCGCGCAAGAUUAGCUAUUUGGUUAGGUAACGGCUCACCAAGGCGAUGAGCCUUCGGGGGCUUGAGGGGGUGACCCACCAGAAUGGAAAUGAGGCCCAGACCAGAAUCCUACGGGAGGGAGCAGUAAGGAAUAUUGGUCGAUGGAUGCAAGCCUGAACCAGCCAUCCCGGGUGAAGAACGACUGCCCUAGGGGUUGUAAACUUCUGUUAUAGAAGAAUAAACCUACCCUCGAGAGGGUAGCUGAAGGUACUAAACGAAUAAGCACCGGCUAACUCCGUG